rnacentral:rRNA from 1 species
UACGGAGGGAGCUAGCGUUGUUCGGAAUUACUGGGCGUAAAGCGCGCGUAGGCGGUCUUUUAAGUCGGGGGUGAAAUCCUGGAGCUCAACUCCAGAACUGCCUUCGAUACUGGAAGACUUGAGUCCGGGAGAGGUGAGUGGAACUGCGAGUGUAGAGGUGAAAUUCGUAGAUAUUCGCAAGAACACCAGUGGCGAAGGCGGCUCACUGGCCCGGUACUGACGCUGAGGUGCGAAAGCGUGGGGAGCAAACAGG